GGGAGGUUUGGCACCUCGAUGUCGGCUCAUCGCAUCCUGGGGCUGUAGUCGGUCCCAAGGGUUGGGCUGUUCGCCCAUUAAAGCGGUACGCGAGCUGGGUUCAGAACGUCGUGAGACAGUUCGGUCCCUAUCCGUCGCGGGCGCAGGAAAUUUGAGAGGAGCUGUCCUUAGUACGAGAGGACCGGGAUGGACGCACCGCUGGUGUACCAGUUGUUCUGCCAAGGGCAUCGCUGGGUAGCUAUGUGCGGACGGGAUAAGUGCUGAAAGCAUCUAAGCAUGAAGCCCCCCUCAAGAUGAGAUUUCCCAUUCCGCAAGGAAGUAAGAUCCCUGAAAGAUGAUCAGGUUGAUAGGUCUGAGGUGGAAGUGUGGCGACACAUGGAGCUGACAGAUACUAAUCGAUCGAGGACUUAACCA
rnacentral:rRNA from 1 species